rnacentral:snRNA from 1 species
GGAUAUGAGGGCGGUCUGGUUGAGACAUCUUUCACCCCAUUGAUCACCAGGGUUGAUCCCACUAAUCUGACUGGCUGGGUGGGUGUUUUCUUUGUCCUUCACUGCUCCAUGUGCAGCCCUCUCAAACUAAGUUUUUGGUCGAAGAGGAUGACUUUAAGGAUGUAAGAGAAACUGUGUUCCCUUGCUGGAACCGCCUAACAAGCUCUCAAGACAUUUGCAUCCUACACUGGUAUUUUGUGCUCUGGCUGCUGAUACUAGCAUGCUGCUAAUGCAUAUACCA